CGGAGAGGGAGCAUGAGAAACGGUUACCACAUCUAAGGAAGGCAGCAGGCGCGCAAAUUACCCAAUAUCUUACACAGAGAGGUAGUGACAAGAAAUACCAAUACAAGACCAACGUGUCUCGUAAUUGGGAUGAGUAUCAUUUAAACCGCAUAACAAGUAUCAACUGGAGGGCAAGUCUGGUGCCAGCAGCCGCGGUAAUUCCAGCUCCAGAAGCGUAUAUUAAAGUUGUUGCGGUUAAAACGCUCGUAGUUGAAUAUAUGCCUAGUACAGGUGGUCUACCCUCGAUUGGUAGCACGCGCUUCGUGCUUGGCACACUUCUGAAAUCUUUUUCCCCACUUCAUUGUGCGGGACUUAAUUCAAAUACAUUACUUUGAGGAAAUGAGGGUGCUCUAUGCAGAUAUAUGUCAUGGAUACGUUAGCAUGGAAUAGCAUUACAGAAUAUUAUUUUGAAGCUGCUGGUUUUUUGGAAUAGUAUAAUGGCAAGAGGAACAGUUGGGGGCAUUUAUAUUUAACUGUUAGAGGUGAAAUUCUUGAAUCUUUUAAAGAUGAACUACUGCGAAAGCAUCUGCCCAGGAUGUUUUUAUUAAUCAAGAACGAAAGUUAGGGGAUCGAAGAUGAUCAGAUACCGUCCUAGUCUUAACCUUAAACUAUGCCGGCCAGAAAUUGGGGCCGUCCGAGUUUGGAUGCCUUCAGAGACUUGAGAGAAAUCAAAGCCUUUGGGUUCCGGGGGGAGUAUGGUCGCAAGUCUGAAACUUAAAGGAAUUGACGGAAGGGCACCACCAGGAGUGGAGCUUGCGGCUUAAUUUGACUCAACACGGGAAAACUCACCAGGUCCAGACAUAGGGAGGAUUGACAGACUAAUAGCUCUUUCUUGAUUCUAUGGGUGGUGGUGCAUGACCGUUCUUAGUUGGUGGAGUGAUUUGUCUUGUUAAUUCCGUUAACGAACGAGACUUUAACCUGCUAAAUAGGGCGCAGGGAUGUUCUUAUUCUUGCGCGCUUCUUAGGGGGACUUUUUACGACUAGCAUCAGGAGGUUUGAAGCAAUAACAGGUCUGUGAUGCCCUUAGAUGUCUUGGGCUGCACGCGUGCUACACUGAUGGGUUCAACAAGUUCCUAACCUUCUCCGGAGGGAGUGGGUAAUCUUGCGAAAUCCCAUCGUGAUGGGGAUAAAUGAUUGCAAUUAUUCAUUUUGAACGAGGAAUUCCUAGUAAGCGCAAAUCAACAGUUUGCGCUGAUUACGUCCCUGCCCUUUGUACACACCGCCCGUCGCUCCUACCGAUUGAGUAAUCCGGUGAAUACCUCAGACGACAGUCAACUGAUUCUUCAGCUGAUUGAAGGAAGUUUUAUGAAUCUUAUCACUUAGAGGAAGGAGAAGUCGUAACAAGGUAACC
rnacentral:rRNA from 1 species